GAUGAACGCUGGCGGCGUGCCUAAUACAUGCAAGUCGAGCGAACAGACGAGGGGCUUGCUCCUCUGACGUUAGCGGCGGACGGGUGAGUAACACGUGGAUAACCUACCUAUAAGACUGGGAUAACUUCGGGAAACCGGAGCUAAUACCGGAUAAUAUAUUGAACCGCAUGGUUCAAUAGUGAAAGACGGUUUUGCUGUCACUUAUAGAUGGAUCCGCGCCGCAUUAGCUAGUUGGUAAGGUAACGGCUUACCAAGGCGACGAUGCGUAGCCGACCUGAGAGGGUGAUCGGCCACACUGGAACUGAGGCACGGUCCAGACUCCUACGGGAGGCAGCAGUAGGGAAUCUUCCGCAAUGGGCGAAAGCCUGACGGAGCAACGCCGCGUGAGUGAUGAAGGUCUUCGGAUCGUAAAACUCUGUUAUUAGGGAAGAACAAAUGUGUAAGUAACUAUGCACGUCUUGACGGUACCUAAUCAGAAAGCCACGGCUAACUACGUG
rnacentral:rRNA from 1 species